AGGGAGUGAAGCUCGGUUGUAACUCUUUCAGCAGGGAAGAAGCGCAAGUGACGGUACCUGCAGAAGAAGCGCCGGCUAACUACGUGC
rnacentral:rRNA from 1 species